GAUGAACGCUGGCGGCAUGCCUAAUACAUGCAAGUCGAGCGGAGCGGGGACGGGUGAGUAACACGUGGAUAACCUCCUAUAAGGAUGGGAUAACUUCGGGAAACCGGUGCUAAACCGGCUACUUAUCGAUGGAUCCGCGCUGCAUUAGCUAGUUGGUAAGGUAACGGCUUACCAAGGCAACGAGCCAUAGCCGACCUGAGAGGGUGAUCGGCCACACUGGAACUGAGACACGGUCCAGACUCCUACGGGAGGCAGCAGUAGGGAAUAUUCCGCAAUGGGCGAAAGCCUGACGGAGCAACGCCGCGUGAGUGAUGAAGGUCUUCGGAUCGUAAAACUCUGUUAGUAGGGAAGCGUUACCUAAUCAGAAAGCCCCGGCUAACUACGUGCCAGCAGCCGCGGUAAUAC
rnacentral:rRNA from 1 species